GAGCAAAGGGGCCUGAUUGAAUGGCGAAUCUUUGCAUUGAAGGUUGGCGAUAGUGAUUGCAGUUCUCCGUGCCUCUCAGACUCCCUUUGCUGUGAUGGCCUCGAACAAUCUGCCACAUA
rnacentral:snoRNA from 1 species